rnacentral:rRNA from 1 species
UACGUAGGGGGCAAGCGUUGUCCGGAAUCAUUGGGCGUAAAGCGCGUGUAGGCGGCUCGGUAAGUCUGCUGUGAAAGCCCCAGGGCUCAACCCUGGGAUGCCGGUGGAUACUGUCGAGCUCGAGUCCGGAAGAGGCGAGUGGAAUUCCUGGUGUAGCGGUGAAAUGCGCAGAUAUCAGGAGGAACACCAAUGGCGAAGGCAGCUCGCUGGGACGUGACUGACGCUGAGACGCGAAAGCGUGGGGAGCAAACAGG